UGGUGUUCCCCUGCCUCAGCCUCUCAGGUGUCUUAGGAUCCUCCCCGGUCCCCCCACAGCAGGAGGAGCCCUGGCAUUUGGCUCAUCUCUCCAGGUUCCUACCCUCUCCUGGCUUUCAGCCCUGACAGUUGCUUACUCUCUUGAUGUUUAUACUUGUCAGAAGGUAGGUCCAUAUUCCCUAGCCCGCCCUGGCUGUAUGUGGAAGUUCUCCUCUACGUCUUAAAUGGGAUGUUAAUCGAGAGCGGUCAUCCUUCUCUUAUUCCUGAUUUUAACAUGAAUGCCUCCAGCGUAUAUGGGCUGGAUCGAGCUCCACGGCAGCGAGACCUGGCUUUCCUGUUCUCCCUGUGGCCUCAAUCCCGAGAUCUGUGUCCUGCGGGUAGCAGGCACCCAAUGGAUCUGUAGCUCGUGAGCUAAUUCAAAGGAGGGAGGCACCGGAUAAUGCACUGGAGUACGGAAUAAACACGGAAAUGAUGACCUUGGCCCCACCUUCCCUGUCAGGUGCGUCUUUGGAGAAAGCAAACAAUGACUGC